AGCCUUUGGAAAGGAUUAAAGGUUAUACCUGCCCAAUGUUAUAUUAAUGGCCGCGGUACUUUGACCGUGCUAAGGUAGCACAAUCAAUUGGCCCUUAAUUAGGGUCAGGUAUGAAUGGAGUUACGGGGCUUAGCUGUCUCUAGACUAUUUAAUUGAAGUUGCUAUAUAGGUGAAAAAGCCUGUAUUAAGAAAAAAGACGAGAAGACCCUUAGAGUUUUACUUAAAAAAGAGUUAUUUCUUCACUAGUUUUGUUGGGGCAACAUAGGAGAAGAACCAAACCUCCUAAAAGAUAUAAACCGAUGUUUUUAAAUAUGAAUAAACUACCUUAGGGAUAACAGCAUAAUUUUAAAAAUAAGUUUGUGACCUCGAUGUUGGACUAGGAAACCUAAGGGCUAGCCGCCUUUUGGUAAGGUUCUGUUCGAACUAUAAUUCCU
rnacentral:rRNA from 1 species